rnacentral:rRNA from 1 species
UGGGGAAUUUUGGACAAUGGGGGAAACCCUGAUCCAGCCAUCCCGCGUGUGCGAUGAAGGCCUUCGGGUUGUAAAGCACUUUUGGCAGGAAAGAAACGUCAUGGGUUAAUACCCCGUGAAACUGACGGUACCUGCAGAAUAAGCACCGGCUAACUACGUGCCAGCAGUCGCGGUAAUACGUAGGGUGCAAGCGUUAAUCGGAAUUACUGGGCGUAAAGCGUGCGCAGGCGGUUCGGAAAGAAAGAUGUGAAAUCCCAGAGCUCAACUUUGGAACUGCAUUUUUAACUACCGGGCUAGAGUGUGUCAGAGGGAGGUGGAAUUCCGCGUGUAGCAGUGAAAUGCGUAGAUAUGCGGAGGAACACCGGUGGCGAAGGCAGCCUCCUGGGAUAACACUGACGCUCAUGCACGAAAGCGUGGGGAGCAAACAGG